AUCGCUUCUCGGCCUUUUGACUAAGAUCAGUGUAGUAUCUGUUCUUAUCAGUUUAAAAAAAUGUUUGAGUUUAUGCAAAUAUUAGAGUGUUAACAGGCAUAAAAUGCAUAUUUAGUUGCUGUUAGAGCCUUGCUAUCAAGACCAGCAUCAUCAGGAUUGCUUGGAAACUUGUUAAAAAUGCAGUAUCU
rfam:Myotis brandtii contig215392, whole genome shotgun sequence.